rnacentral:tRNA from 1 species
GGGAAUGUGGCUUAGUGGUAGAGUACUUGCCUACCAUGCAUGAAGACCUGGGUUCGAUUCUCAGUACCA